UCAGAUUUUGAGACGCUUUGACUGUGAAGA
rnacentral:piRNA from 1 species